UUAAUUUAAUAAUUUCUUAAGAAUUAAUUCUUAAACAUAAAUAAAUUUAGUAUCAAAUUAAAGAGCAAUAAAUUUCCUUUUAGUGUAAUAUGAAAUAAAAGUGGUGGAACGAAAAUUAAGCAAAUAAUUCAAGUGUUAACUUCUUAAUGGUCAAUUUGUUGGGAGUGCGGGUGAUUGUUGUUAGCUUUGCUAUUGCAGUUUUUUUGUUGUUUGUUUUUGUUGUAAAUAAAGUGCGUAAAGUUUAAUGUUUAGAGAAGAGUGCAAAAAAAAAAAGAGUUUCCUACUUGGCUGAAGUGUGAAAACAAAAGGGAAAAUAAGAAUAUUUUUAGGGAAUUAAUAUAUAAAAAUGAAUUAAAAUGUUAUUUAAUAUAUUUAACAUCUUAAAAUUAAGACAAAACAAAAUUUAUUUAGCCCUUUGCUGUACAUGAUAAUAAAUGC